rnacentral:misc_RNA from 1 species
GAUGAAGAACGCAGCGAAAUGCGAUAAGUAAUGUGAAUUGCAGAAUUCAGUGAAUCAUCGAAUCUUUGAACGCACAUUGCGCCCCUUGGUAUUCCAUGGGGCAUGCCUGUUCGAGCGUCAUUUGUACCCUCAAGCUUUGCUUGGUGUUGGGCGUUUUGUCUUUUUAUCAAGACUCGCCUUAAAGUAAUUGGCAGCCAGUGUUUUGGUAGUAAGCGCAGCACAUUUUGCGUCUUAAUCCCUCAACAGUGGCACCCAUAAAGCCUCUUUCUCACUUUUGACCUCGGAUCAGGUAGGGAUACCCGCUGAACUUAAGCAUAUCAAUAAGCGGAGGA